rfam:Rheinheimera sp. A13L DRAFT__contig00022, whole genome shotgun sequence.
CUGUCGGGACGACCCAAUAGCGCAUCUGUAUAUCGGGGACGACCCCA